rnacentral:rRNA from 1 species
CAAUAGCGUAUAUUAAAGUUGUUGCGGUUAAAAAGCUCGUAGUUGGAUUUCUGCCGAGGACGACCGGUCCGCCCUCCGGGUGAGUAUCUGGCUCGGCCUGGGCAUCUUCUUGGAGAACGUAGCUGCACUUGGCUGUGUGGUGCGGUAUUCAGGACUUUUACUUUGAGGAAAUUAGAGUGUUUCAAGCAGGCACACGCCUUGAAUACAUUAGCAUGGAAUAAUAAGAUAGGACCUCGGUUCUAUUUUGUUGGUUUCUAGAUCUGAGGUAAUGAUUAAUAGGGAUAGUUGGGGGCAUUCGUAUUUAACUGUCAGAGGUGAAAUUCUUGGAUUUGUUAAAGACGGACUACUGCGGAAGCAUUUGCCAAGGAUGUUUUCAUUGA